rnacentral:tRNA from 1 species
GGCCUCAUAGCUCAGGGGACAGAGCACCGCUCUCCUAAAGCGGGUGCCGCAGGUUCGAAUCCUGCUGGGGCCA